GAUGAACGCUGGCGGCGUGCCUAAUACAUGCAAGUCGAGCGAACAGAUAAGGAGCUUGCUCCUUUGACGUUAGCGGCGGACGGGUGAGUAACACGUGGGUAACCUACCUAUAAGACUGGGAUAACUUCGGGAAACCGGAGCUAAUACCGGAUAAUAUUUCGAACCGCAUGGUUCGAUAGUGAAAGAUGGUUUUGCUAUCACUUAUAGAUGGACCCGCGCCGUAUUAGCUAGUUGGUAAGGUAACGGCUUACCAAGGCGACGAUACGUAGCCGACUUGAGAGGGUGAUCGGCCACACUGGAACUGAGACACGGUCCAGGCUCCUACGGGAGGCAGCAGUAGGGAAUCUUCCGCAAUGGGCGAAAGCCUGACGGAGCAACGCCGCGUGAGUGAUGAAGGUCUUCGGAUCGUAAAACUCUGUUAUUAGGGAAGAACAUACGUGUAAGUAACUGUGCACGUCUUGACGGUACCUAAUCAGAAAGCCACGGCUAACUACGUGCCAGCAGCCGCGGUAAUACGUAGGUGGCAAGCGUUAUCCGGAAUUAUUGGGCGUAAAGCGCGCGUAGGCGGUUUUUUAAGUCUGAUGUGAAAGCCCACGGCUCAACCGUGGAGGGUCAUUGGAAACUGGAAAACUUGAGUGCAGAAGAGGAAAGUGGAACUCCAUGUGUAGCGGUGAAAUGCGCAGAGAUAUGGAGGAACACCAGUGGCGAAGGCGACUUUCUGGUCUGUAACUGACGCUGAUGUGCGAAAGCGUGGGGAUCAAACAGGAUUAGAUACCCUGGUAGUCCACGCCGUAAACGAUGAGUGCUAAGUGUUAGGGGGUUUCCGCCCCUUAGUGCUGCAGCUAACGCAUUAAGCACUCCGCCUGGGGAGUACGACCGCAAGGUUGAAACUCAAAGGAAUUGACGGGGACCCGCACAAGCGGUGGAGCAUGUGGUUUAAUUCGAAGCAACGCGAAGAACCUUACCAAAUCUUGACAUCCUUUGACAACUCUAGAGAUAGAGCUUUCCCCUUCGGGGGACAAAGUGACAGGUGGUGCAUGGUUGUCGUCAGCUCGUGUCGUGGGAUGUUGGGUUAAGUCCCGCAACGAGCGCAACCCUUAAGCUUAGUUGCCAUCAUUAAGUUGGGCACUCUAAGUUGACUGCCGGUGACAAACCGGAGGAAGGUGGGGAUGACGUCAAAUCAUCAUGCCCCUUAUGAUUUGGGCUACACACGUGCUACAAUGGACAAUACAAAGGGUAGCGAAACCGCGAGGUCAAGCAAAUCCCAUAAAGUUGUUCUCAGUUCGGAUUGUAGUCUGCAACUCGACUACAUGAAGCUGGAAUCGCUAGUAAUCGUAGAUCAGCAUGCUACGGUGAAUACGUAUCCCGGGUCU
rnacentral:rRNA from 1 species